rnacentral:pre_miRNA from 1 species
CGGUGGAGGCCGGAUCCUGGGCUGUGUCCCGGCGCCUUGUGCUCCGGACCUGUGCUAUUGGAUUCUCAAUCCCGCCCUUCAGCCCCCU